UACGUAGGGUGCGAGCGUUAAUCGGAAUUACUGGGCGUAAAGCGUGCGCAGGCGGUAUGUUAAGUCUGAUGUGAAAGCCCCGGGCUCAACCUGGGAAUGGCAUUGGAAACUGGCUUGCUAGAGUGUGGCAGAGGGGGGUGGAAUUCCGCGUGUAGCAGUGAAAUGCGUAGAGAUGCGGAGGAACACCGAUGGCGAAGGCAGCCCCCUGGGCCGACACUGACGCUCAGGCACGAAAGCGUGGGGAGCAAACAGG
rnacentral:rRNA from 1 species